rnacentral:rRNA from 1 species
UGAGGAAUAUUGGUCAAUGGGCGAGAGCCUGAACCAGCCAAGUAGCGUGCAGGAUGACGGCCCUAUGGGUUGUAAACUGCUUUUAUGUGGGGAUAAAGUGCGUGACGUGUCAUGCAUUACAGGUACCACAUGAAUAAGGACCGGCUAAUUCCGUGCCAGCAGCCGCGGUAAUACGGAAGGUCCGGGCGUUAUCCGGAUUUAUUGGGUUUAAAGGGAGCGUAGGCUGUCUAUUAAGCGUGUUGUGAAAUAUACCGGCUCAACCGGUGGCUUGCAGCGCGAACUGGUCGACUUGAGUAUGCAGGAAGUAGGCGGAAUUCAUGGUGUAGCGGUGAAAUGCUUAGAUAUCAUGACGAACUCCGAUUGCGCAGGCAGCUUACUGUAGCAUAACUGACGCUGAUGCUCGAAAGUGCGGGUAUCAAACAGG